rnacentral:lncRNA from 1 species
ACACAAGAGGAUUUUUAGCUCAAUUCAUUCGAAUGCGCUAUCAUUUGCAGGACUAUCGAGGAAGUGAAAGAGAGCCUAAGAAUGGAAAAGAGCUAUUUAACUAUAGACUUGCAUCUCUGCGCAAUAUAAUUGAAAGAACUUUUGGUGCGUGGAAAAGUAGAUUCAAAAUACUAAUACAAGGCAUGAACAACUAUGAAUGUGACAUGCAAGUGAAAAUAGUAAUUGCUUGCGUUGUAUUGCAUAAUUUUUUACGUGAACACCAAAGUAGUGAUGAAAUAUUCAAUGAAUAUGAAAAUGAUGAUAUGGUUGUUGAUGAAAGUGACGAACUACUGGCUCAGGGUAACAACAUCGCUUCAUCUUCUCGAUCGUCUGAUUCGAAAAUGUAAGCUCAUGAGAAGAGAUUGUUCAUAAAAUGUGGGAAGAUUAUAUUAAAGAAUAGGUUGAACUCUUUCAGAAGAGAAAGCAUAGGUUCUUCAGUGAUUGCAAUAUUUAUUUCCUUUUGUUUUCUUCUCUUUUUUUUCCCGAAUUUAUAUUAGUUGUAUUUUCAUUAUCAUGAUUUAUACCAAGACCUUUUUACUAUACGAAUAUUUACUGUAAUGAUUCUUGUUGAUUUGUUGCGGAAGUCAUAAAUCUUGUUACGUGAGAUUUCUAUUGUGCUAUGUAAUACAAAUUUAUGGUUAGUUUGAUAGUUUAAAAAAGGGAUAAUGCCUUAGUACCCCCUCAACCUAUGUGAAAUCUCAGUGACACACUUAUACUAUACUAAGGUCCUAUUACCCCCCUGAACUUAUUUUAUUAAUAAUUUUUUACCCCUUUUUAGCUUAUGUGGCACUAUCUUGUGGGUCCAACGAUGGUUGACUUUUUUUUCGAACUAGUGCCACGUCGGCUAAAAAGGGGUAGAAAAUUACAUAUAAAAUAAGUUCAGGGGGGUAAUAGGACCUUAAUAUAGUAUAAGUGUGUCUCUAGGAUUUCGGGCAUAGGUUGAGGGGGUACUUGGAUAUUUUCCCUUUUAAAAACUUAUGGGUAUAAAUCAUAUUUCUUAAAAAAUGAAAUAUAUUUCUCAAAUUUUAUAGCCAAACACAUGGUAAAAUUUCACCCAAAUUUUCAUCCAAAUAAUAUUUGCCAAAAAUAUUUGAAUAUCUAUGGCCAAACGCUAGCUUAGUAUAGAUUGUAACUCAGAUAUUUCACUAUCAUUAUCUUGUAUUUGUGUCAUUAUGUUAUUGCUUUUUUCUAAUUUAUCUUGUAAACUCUUUUCUAAUCUAUAUCCUUUAUUAUCAGUUCUUUGUUCACAUAUUUUAAAAUGAGAUAUUGUUUGUUCUAAAUUUAAGUCUUUUAAUUUACAUCUUUUGCAUGUAAAUAGUCUAUUCUUAUUGUUUUUACUUACUUCUUUGGCUUUUUCUAUAGCCAAAUCUACUGCAAAAUCUUCUUCUAAUAUUAUUUCUAUAUUCAUUUCUUCUAAAGGCAUUUCUUCUACAACACUUUCUUCUUCAAAGUCUUUUUAAGCUUCAUAAUUGUAAUCUGUAAAUCUAAUAGAAGGUUCUCCUUUAGAAUUUGUAUAUAUUAAAUGAUCAUUUGGUAUUAAUGCUUCUUUUUCUUUAAAAUCUCCUAAUUUUCAUUCUAAUCCUGCAUAUUCUUCAGGACUUAUUUUUAUAGGUUUUAUUAAUUUUAUCCCCUUAUUUUCCAUUACUUCUACUACAUCUUUUAUUUGUAAUUUAAAUCUAGUGUUACUAUUAUCUGUCAUUUUUCCUAAAAAUCCUACACACAUUAAUAAAUUUUUUCCACUAUGCAUCUUUUCAUAUCCUUUAGUUUGUAUUCCUAUUCUUAUUUUGUUUCCAAAUUCAUUUAAAUUCAUCAUAAAAUUUGAACUUAUGUAAGAAAUUCCUCCAUUAUUAGUCAUAUCUACUUCUGUUAAUCCUAUAAUUGCUUUUUUUAUGUCUGAUCAUCUAUUAUCAUAUAUUGUAAUUAAUGUCUUUGUUCCUAAGUUUUUUCUAGUUAAUCCUUUAAUUCCUAUAACUAUUAAUCCUAUAUGCAUUAAGUCUUUUUUAACAAGUUUUAUUUCUUUUAUAGAUUCAGCAUUUAUGAGUGGUAGAGAUACAGAGUUUUUUCCUAAUACUGAUAAUUGUUCUUCUCUAUAAUGUCUAUAUAGUUGAGAUUUUGAGUUUGUAUUAUAUAAAACUUUUGGAUUUAAUAAAUUUAAUUGAUUUUGUUGAAAGAUUUGUAUAUCUUUAUCUGUAUCUAUUAUUUCUUCUAAUUGUUGAUUAUUUUUUUCCUUUGUCUUUCUAUUUAAUAUUCUUGACAAAAAAUUAUUGCUUAUCAUAUUCUGGGAGUAACUUGGUCUUGGUCUUUCUUAUGCUUUCUCUCUUGAUCCAGUUGGAAAAAUAUCCAUUUUUUCUGUUUUUUAAUUAUUUUUUCUUUUUGAGGAGUAAUUUCUAUUUUAUUUAACUUUUCUAUUAAUUCUUCUAUUCCGGUCGUGUCUAUAUUUUUACUUUCUGAUUUAAAAUUUUUAUCUAUCUUAUUAUGUAGUUGUAAUAAAAGUGCUAUUAUUAUAUUGUUAUGUUGUAUAAUAAUUUGAUCUGAUUUUGAAGGUGGAUUAAAUUCUUUAUAAUCUAAUGGAAGGGCUAUUCUUUUUUCUAUUAGUUUUAUUGCUUCUUUAUGGGUUUCAGAUUCUACUAGCUCUAUCAUGAAAGAACUAUUUCUUUUAUUGAUGCUAAUUCUUUCUUUAUUUCUUGUAUUUUUAUUAUUAAUGUAUUACUAACUUCUUCUUUAGAUUUAUUUUUUAACUCGUUUAAUUUUUUACUUAAAUCUACUCCUUGUUCCCUAAGGUAAUCUAAAUUAUUUUCUAUCUUACUAAAGAGUUGUUUUUGUUUAUUUUGCGUUUCUUCCUGUUCACUUAAUAUUUUUAUAAUUUUGUUGUUUGAUUCUUUUAUUUUUUUCACUGGGAUUGAUUAUCAAAUCUAUUAAAGUAUUAUAUUGAGCGUCUUCUCUAUGUAAGCAAUGAUUUCCGUUCUCAAAGUUACAUUUAAUUAGAUUGUCUGAUUUUAAUCUUUGAAAUCUUUUUUCUGUAUUUAUUUAUAAGUCUAAGUAUUCUAUGUUUUUUAUUGAAGUUAUUGUUACUAUUGUUAUUUAAUCCUAAAGUAGUUGGGUACUUAUAUUUGUAAAAGUUUUUUAUUCUUUUAUUAUAAUUAUGUAUAACAUCACUAAUUCUUUGUAAUUCCCAUUUUAAAGCACUUAAAUAUUCUUCGUUAUUUAUAUGUCUUUGAAAAUAAAUAGUGUUUGGUAUAAAAAAUUCAUUUUCGUAUAUAUUUAUAUAUAUAUAUAGAUUUUUCUAUUCUUUGUAAUCUUUUCUUUUCUUCUAUAUCUCUAUAUAAUAGUCAAUAAUCAAGUCUUAUUCUUUCAGCAAAUGAAAGAUUUCUCAUAAAGUACUUUUAAUUAAAAUAUUUCUAGAUAUAUGAUGUCUUAUUAAUUUUUGUUCUAAUAUUUCUAAUUUAUUAGUUAUUUCUUUUUUAAAGCUUGUAAUUUUUAGGUCUUUUAAUAAUAUAUCUGCUUUUACAUAUAAGUCUUGUAAUUCUGUUUUAACCUUUUUAUAUUCUCUAGUAUUUUUAUAUGGUCUUCUCAUAUAUUAUCCUACCGGAUUAUAGUAAUAAGGAUUAUUUUUAAUUAUUUUAAUUCUUUCUCUUAUUUCUUUUAUUUCAAACUCUACUUGAUUUAUUUCUCCACUAAUUUGUUGUUGAGAUUGUAUAAGAGUUUCUCUAAGAGUCUUUACAGAAUUUUUAUAUGUAUAAGUUAAAAGUAAUCUUAAUUUUAAUGUAAGUAAAUGACUUUCUAAAGAUUUUUUAUAUAAUUUAACUAUUUUUAAAUGUUGUCUAUUAUAAAACAACGUUCUAUGAUAAGCAGACGUUUUUCUAAAAUAAUAAUCUUUUUUCAUAUAAGGUCUUUUAGAUCUAAGGCUCUGAUACCAAAAAAUAGGCUGAUCUUUAGUCUGGGAUUCUAGACAAGAUGUACAAACUCGCACAGAUAUACAUGGUUUUCCAUCCCAAAUAAAAAUGGAUGAGAUGGGUGUGCAUUCCCCAUUGAAUGCUAAGAAAUCCACUGUAUCGGAUGAAGAUAUAGCUAGUCCGGUUCAAACGGUAGCCGGUAAAGACUUCUCAAACCCGUUGAUGGCCGUCACUUUGCCAAAAAGUGAAAAAGAUGAAGGUUCAUCUUUUAGAAGAAGGUUACCACUUUCAUUUAACAAGACUAUUAGACAAAAAAUUAAAAAAUUCCAAAAAAAUAAAGAUAUUGAAUCCCUUAUAACCCAAACUGCAGAAAAAUUACUUAAACCAAAACACGAAAAAGAUAAACAUAUAAACCCAAGCCCAAGACAAGAUUCUGUUUCAAGCCCAAAUAAUUCAGAUAAUAUUUCAGACUCAAUGCAAUUUGCUCAAGACCCAAAUGAUGAUGACUCUGGUAUGAGUUUUGAUUCAAUUGCAUUACAUAAUUUAGACACUUAAAAAAAAUCUAUUAUUAUUAUAGUUUUAAAGAGGAAUGCCUCUUUUGUCAAAAAAAAAAUGUGAGUCCCACUUUACUCACUACCACACAUGUGGAAAACUGUUGGGACGCGUCUUUACUUUAAAAAUAAAAAUAAUGUAUAGGUAAGAAAUAAGAGAUAAGUAUUGACAGACAGAUAUCAGACUAGAAGGACAAUAAUGCAAGAAAAGGAACAUUAUUUCACGUAACGAUGGGGUCCAGAUGUGUACCCGGCUGAGAUGAUAAGAUUCAUUUUCCAUUUGAAAUCCGAAGUUUGAAGUCCGAAGAUCUCUAUAAAAGCAAGCAUUAUCAAGACAAGAAAAGGCAGAAGGCGAAAAAGUCUAAGACAACCACAACAAAAACUCUCUCAAAAUCCUCAAAACAACCCCUUUUCUCUUUAAAAUUAUCUUUUAAAAGAUUGUAAUAAAGAUUUCAGUUCUUUAUUCUAAAAGUUUGUUUUAAGUAAAAGUUUGGAAGCUUUUCGGGUUUUCCGAAAGGGAAACUUCACUCUGUUCUAAAUAAUGUAAGUUUUCAUAUUUAUGUUUCUAGUAAACUUCCCAUAUAUGUAAAUUAUGUGUGUUUAUAAAAUGUUAAUUAUUUGAUAAAUUCAUGUAAAUUUAUGAAUAUCAUCAUGAAUCUAUAUUACUUAGUAUAUGGUUAGUCUCUUAGCUUCUUAAAAGUAUCGAUGGAUUAACCUGUAAAUUCCUAGGACAUUGUCAGGUUAAAUGUUCUGAGAAAAAAACUAUGAAUAACCAAAUCCGGGGUGUGGUUAAAGAAGAUUACUUUUAAGAACAAAGGCUAAGAGAAAGAGAUGUACAAUAAUAAUAGAUAGAUUCAUGAAUGGACAGAGUCCAUAAAAAAAAAGGGAAGUUGAAACUAGAAACUAAUAUGAUAAUUAUAGUGAAGGAGUACUGAGUAGGAUUGUACAAUAUUAAAGGUUUAACGAAUUUAUUGAACCAUAUAUUAAAAAAAAUAAUUUAUCGAAACAUCAACAUUAAAGGUUUAACGAAUUUAUUGAACCAUAUAUUGAAAAAACCAAUUUAUCGAAACAUCAACCUAUUUUUUUUUAGAAGACCCACCGGAAUUUAGGCUUUCGAGUUUUUCAAAUUCUUUUGUUUGUCAUAGUCCACAAAAUUGUUUGGCAUUUGAAAAGGUUGUUCACAACAUUGGAACUAUGAUCAUGGAAAAACUACUAAAAAACACAUCUAAUAUUUUUAUUAUUUUUAAUAUUUCAUUUUAUUUUUGAAAAUCUUUAAUACUUCUUAUUUCUUUAAUGUAUUCGAGCCAGUAUUUACUGUAAUUGAAUUACAUAUUAUGUAUUUGAUUUAUUUUAUCUGGUCCAUUUUAUAAUGUAUUCGAGCUACAUAUUAUGUAUUUAAUUUAUAUUAUAAUGUAUUCGAGAUACUCUUUAAUGUAUCUGAGCUACAUAUUAAUGUAUCUGAUUUGUGUUACUUUUUAAGGCAUUAAUACAAUUACAAACUAAAGAGAGACAUAUUGUAAUUUCAUCUUAAAACUAUAUGACCUAAAAGUUAUCCUUUGAUUAUUCUCCUAUAUACAUAAAAAGUUUUUUACUCUAGCUACAGUGUAAUUUUCCGAUGAAGAGGCAUCCGUCGAUACCCCUCUACAUGUGGUUCCACCAUUGCCCACAUCUUGAAAUGUUCUUUAUGAAUAUCCCCAAAGUUUAUGGAAUAUUCGAGAUUUUCUUGAGAAAGACAAUACGUGAUGUCUUCAUGCUCUCUUGUGAAAAUCCAUGGGUUAUAAAAUAUUCGAGAUGUCUGUCUUUUUUAAGGAAAUAUAUUACCUUUUAAAUAGAUAUAAACUAGAACUUAGUGUAGAGUAAUCUUUAAAUAAAAAAAUAUUUUGAAAUUGAUCUAAAUAAAAUUAAUUUAUCUAAAUAUUAGUGCAUGCCUUUUAUGGCCUUGAUUUGUAUAAAAGAAAUAAUUGUACAAACAUGGUAGUUUGGCUUGCUUACGUGUUUUUCUAGCUCAAGUUAUUUUCUAAGAGUUUUUAAGUUGAGUGACUUCACACCGACAAAAAGUAGUUUUUAUUUUUUUAUUUUUAUAUAGAUAAAAAACUCUAAAUUUGAUUAAUAUUUGAGAAAUUAACUCACAGAAAUUUAACUACUCUAUGUUUUUCAUAUCCUUCAAAAUUUUCUUUUGAAUGUAUACCAAUUUUUUUAAGAAUUAUGUAUUUUUUAGAAUUCGAAUGGAGUGUGACAAUAUAGUCAAUGGAUCUAACCAAAUAUAGUUAAUAAUGACUACUAGGUAUGCAUUUCAUCAUCAUAGUGAAUAAAGUGCAAAUAUUUUUUUUAUAAGAAUACAUUUAGGAUGAGGUUUUUCUCAAAAGAGUUAAAGAUUGCAAUAGCACACAAUAAAUAUUUUAAACUAGAAGUAAAUGAAGAACAAUAUUACUUGUAUGAGCAUAAUAUAUAGUUGCAUUAUCUCAUUGCCUCUUCUUUCAUUGUGGCUUGCUUUCUUCUUUCUCUUUUGGUUUUUCUUCUUCUACCUUCUUAUCUUUAGGUUUUGCUUCUUCAACUUUGGCUUUAGGUUUUGCUUCUUCUUUGGCUUUUGGUUUUCCUUUUUGGGGCUUCAUGAAACAAAAACAAGAACAACAUGGACAUUGGAACAAGAACUUCAUUCUCUCUCUCUCUCUCUCUCUCUCUCUCUCUCUUCACCUCCCCCUUCUACUUGUGUUAUAUAAAUAAGUAAGAACUACUAGUAUAGUUGUUUGGGAUUAGACAGUCUGGUGUAUAAAGUAUCUCGCGUUUACGUAAGGGUCAAAAAAUGUUAGUUAUUUCGAAUUAGACGUACAAAACAUUUCAUGUUCACA